UGAAGACCCAGAGGUGGCUGCAGUGGGGCACACCUAUGAAAUGAUGAUUUCAGUAUUUGAUGAUAUGCAUCCCUCUCAUACAGUCACUGUGACAAUCAUUGUGGAGCUUACUCCUGCCAAUGACUUCAGCCCUCUGUUUAAAGCUGC
rnacentral:lncRNA from 1 species